UCUCCCGCUCCAGACAGACACAGGUUAAGAUCCUCCCUGAAGUCCUCAAAAUGAAUCGCAGAUCUAAAUGUAAAAUGUAAAUCUCUAAGAUGUGUAGAAGACAUGAAAGAGAAGACCACGCCCGUGUGGGGCUUGAGCGUCACUUUUACACAUAGCAGCAAAGACCCAGAGGAGUGUGCCGCAGCUGACUGGAAGAAGGCUCAGACCAGAGCAGCCACAGACACCACCGAGACUGUUGCCAAGUGAAUCAGCGCAGGUGCUGCAGCAACAGGAGGAGUUGUUUCCGGUGCGGGUGUAGAACCAGCCUUUGGCUGUCCUGUUGUCGCCUACAUGCCCACGGCGACAGCUUUAAUGUGCUAGCCUGGUACUCGCCAGGUCUGAGCCUUUCAUUUGCACUCUUGAUCUUGUUUCCCGUAUAACAUAAAUCACCGCUUGAAGUUUUGGCACUCAUGCUAA